AUGUUGACAAAGAGAAAAGCUGGACAAGCAGUAUUUUGUGAUUAACACCUAAGGGAUGGGAUGAAACAAGGAAGCAAAAAUGCAGCAGACCCUUGAUAUCACUGAAACUGCUACGGUAGGAGGUGUUCUGGCAUGGGUGUAACUAUCGAUAACGACUGUUAGUUGUUUUGGCCUCACAGAGGCAGCACGGAGGACUAACUAACCCAUUCCUACCAUGUGGAUAUUGUUAACAAUAUCUGCCUUAGCUUUCCUKUGGUUGUUUCUAUUUUGUUUUGUCAACGUACAUGCAUAUAUAGAAAGGGAAAGAUAUAAUACUUACUUUUUAGAUUAAUUGCCAUGGCUGAAGCUGAAGAGACCAGAAAAAUGUGAGCAAGCUGAAGUAAUAAAAUCAAAUGGAAUCAACAGCGAGCUGUCUUCCUCUGCUGGAAAUGGAAAGCCCGUUCCUCCUGGUGAGGAAGGAUCACCGUUAAUAGUGAUCCGAAUAACAGAUCACGAACAUAAAAGGGAAGGUUACUGUUCUGAGGGCCGGCAACUCGAAGAGGAGCAGCUCAGCCUGUUUUGUUGAUUUUGGUGAUACUGUUUUGAGGAAGCAGGGGGCCCGUCAGUCAGCUAACAAAGAAGAUGGAACAGCCUAUCCACAUAGGAGAGAGCUGACGUAGGAGAACUGAUAUACGGUAAAUGUAAACGGCCUAGACCUCUGGUACAUCACAGGCAUUUGUUUAGAUCUGUGCGUUCAAAUCUAUAGUUCCGCAUUUGGAACGUGGCAUUUGCCCAAGUAUCUAAUUCCUUUGUGUCGUGUGGAAGCCACUGCACGGCUGCCAGUCUCUACACCAGGUUAUCGGAGAGAAUGAGAAUGCUGCAUUUCAACUCAUGACUACAAAAGAGGCUCCUUUAUGUCCAGUUUCAGAAUUAUGACCUACUUCAUCGUUCUGCUUUGRCAUUGUUUCUCAGCAGGAAUGGUAGCGCUUUAAUUGUGCAGCGGUUGAAACCGGUAAUGUGUAGGCCAGCACAGUUAUGCUGUACCUUUCUUUGAUAUGCAUUUCAUCCUUGUAUCAGGCUUCUGGGAAAAUAAACGGUACAGAGUUCUGGAAGGUGCGCCUUUA
rnacentral:lncRNA from 1 species